rnacentral:tRNA from 6 species
GCGCCAGUAGCUCAGUAGGAUAGAGCAGCAGCCUUCUAAGCUGCGGGUCAGGGGUUCGAAUCCCUUCUGGCGUGCCA